rnacentral:ncRNA from 1 species
AGUUUGAUUCUGGCUUAAAAUUAAAUUUAUUUUAUAUUGGUUUGACAUGUGAGGUUUUCUGUGAUUUAAUUAAUCUAAAUGAUUAAAUUAUUUUUAAUCGCAGUUUUUAAUUUUAUUUUUUAUAAAAAUUAGAAUUAGCCAUAUAUAAUUAAUUCCAACUAAUUUUGUGCCAGCAGUUGCGGUUAUACAAUUGGAGUAAAUAAAUUAGGCUGACUAUUAUUAAUUUAUAAUAAAUUUAAUUAUCUGUUUUAGGAUAUUAAGUGAAAUUUUAUUUUAAAUAUUUAAUUUGGGUUAAUGUAAUAAGAAAGCUAUGAUUAAACUAGGAUUAGAUACCCUAUUAUUUUAGCUGUUAAUUUGUUAGUCUUAAUAUUAAUAGUUAUGAUCUUUAAACUAAAAGAAUUUGGCGGUGAUUUAGCCUUGCUAGAGGAACCUGUUCUAUAAUCGAUAGUCCACGUUAAAUUUCACUUUAUUUGUGCUUGUAUAUCUCUGUCAUUGAAUGUCUUAUGAGAGUAUCUUCUGUAAUUUUUAUUGGAGUAAAUGGUAGGUCAAGGUGCAGCUAUAAUAAAGAAGAGAUGGGUUACAUUAAAUUUAUUUUUGGUUAUAUUUAUGGAAAUAAAUAAAUAAAUUGGAUUUAGGAGUAAUUUUUUUUAAAUUAAAAAAGUGAUUUUAGCUCUGAAUCAUGCACAUAUCGCCCGUCAUUCCUAUUUUAAAUAGGACAAGUCGUAACAAAGUAAGGCUAUCGGAAGAUGGUCUUAGAAG